rnacentral:tRNA from 1 species
AAAGGGAGACCUAAUUCGGGUAGGAGACGAAAAAAAAGUAGUCCCUACCAAGAAUCAAUCCCAAAAGGUCGGAGCGAGGCGAAAUUGGCUUUCAAACUAGGUUCUGGGUUCACACAAGACCUGAAUCAGGAACAAGGGCUAUUAGCUCAGGUGGUUAGAGCGCACCCCUGAUAAGGGUGAGGUCCCUGGUUCGAGUCCAGGAUGGCCCACCUGCACAGGUGGCAAAAACAAGAGAAGCGAGGAAUCAGCACCUUAUCUUACUUAUAUAGUAAGAGAGAAUGCUGGCUCUGAGUACAGAGUCCAGAGGAACCUUGAAAACUGCAUAGAGCUAGGUGAAAAAGCCAAAAAAGGAGACCGUCAG